ACGCUCGACACCUACGGGAGGCAGCAGUGGGGAAUAUUGCACAAUGGGGGAAACCCUGAUGCAGCGACGCCGCGUGGAGGGAGAAGGUCUUCGGAUUGUAAACUCCUGUUGUUGGGAAAAAGAGGAUGGUACCCAACAAGGAAGUGACGGCUAACUACGUGCCAGUAGCCGCGGUAAUCUGAGCGGGCUGGCAAGGC
rnacentral:rRNA from 1 species